ACAGAAAAAAAGUGGAGAAAAGAAAAAGGAGGGGGGAGCAUGUGGAGAGCAGGUGGUAAUGAAGACGUGGCGAAUGGUGAUUGAUGGAAGGAAGAAAACCCACGUGGGGAGGAUGGUAUGGAUCACGUGGGCAAAGUGAAGCAGCCAAUUCCAGAGAACCACAUCAGUCCUGGUACUGUACCAUAAAUAAUCGAGUUCGUCGCGUCCUUAUCUCUUCCUCCCUUGCCCUAACGCCCGCCCCGCCUCGCCCCGCCCACUUCUUGGCUCCAUUUCUCGCAAUCUCCGAAUCUCUUUGAUUAUAUAAUCUUCUCCCACGUUUGGACACAACGCACCUGAAAUCACCAGAAAUUUAUGGCCAAAUUGUUAGCCUUCUCCUGCAUUUGCACCUACACCUUCAGCUUUGUUUCUUCUUUUCUCUUCAAAUGCACAAGGCCACUGAGGUGCAGGUGCUUCUGCAAGUGAAUGCCAUCUUGGCUCUCUCUCUCCACCACCGCCGCCAUCUCCUCCCCGUACGGUUUUUUCAGGAAGCACAGUCCAAGCAUAUUGAAGUUUGAAAGGCCUUGAAUUGUUGUAGGGGAAAAGUAAUUAAAUACUGAAGGGGUAUGAGUGAGUUGUACCUGGAUUAUUUGACUUGGCCAACGUUGUUUGUUUGUCCUGCCGUACCUUUUCCUCAUGAACUAUUUUGUAAACUUUAGUUUUAAAACAGUGAAUUCUGGCCACUUAAAUAUUGAGUAAGAAAGAAAAAACUGAUAUUUCAUUCGGUUUAUAUAAUUAUUACACAAAAUCAACUAAAUUAAAACCGUGAUUCAUUCUCAAUUGCUUUUACAGUUUGCUGAAAAUAGAUAGAGGUUUAAUUUUAUCAUAUUGAUUUAAAUACGUAUCAAAAGACAAACUCUUGCAAUAAUUCAAAAUUGAAAAGAAAUAAACAAAAUAAAAGUAACAUAUCUUUUAUAGGUUGAGAAGGUAGGGAAUUGGACUCUACCAAGGAAGGUCACUUGUGGUUGGUGAGAAUAUAUUUUCUGAUGAUUCUAGGUCAGCUUCAAUCUAUCUUGGAUUGUGACUAUCUUUCAGCUAAUUUAAAUUAUUUUGAGUUAAGUUUAAAUUAUAAAUCAAUUUUCAUAGAAUUCUAAUUUAUAUAGCAGAAUUUUAAAUUAUGAUCAUGGAGCUCUUUAGGUAAAAUUAAAUUUUAAGGAGUAGUCUCUUGCAACAAGGUAGCCAAUGACUUCGGCCUAGGCCAACUAAGUAAGUGUCUCCACUAUUAGCUUGGUUUGAUGAAUUGUAUUAUGCAUGAUGAUGCAAUGUCCCAUGACUCCUCCACUUGUUAUAUGUAUGAAUGAUAUGUUAAGUUAUACAAAGUUUUGAUGCUAUGUUAUGAUGUGUCAUAUAUGUCAUAUGUUAUGUUAUACUAUGAUAACUUAUAUCAGGUAUAAAAGCUAUGUUAUAUUAGUGAUCAUAUCAUGUUGUAUAAAGUUGUUAUUAAAUCAAUAAGAUAUGAUAGCAUAAACUUUCGUAGAACAUGUCAGGAAAGCUAUGUUAGGUAUCUUGGAAUUUACAAGAAUUAUGACGGUAUAAUUCAUGACUUGUUAGGCUAUAAAUAAAGAGAAGUUUGUCUUGCAUCAUACAUUAUGCCAGGAUUAUAACCUAUGGGGAUUUCAUGCAUAUUUGUGUGUCAUGUGCAUUGGGAUAUUUCACCAAUAUGAUGAGUACGGAUAAAUACUUUACGACAUUUAUGUUUUCCAUGUUAUUAUGUGGGUCCUUCCCUCCAUAGCAUUCGACAACAACACAUUAGCAAGUGCUAGCUUGACGAGCCAAGUCUAGGGAGUGUGUGAGCCCCUUGGCGGGCCCAUGCACGCACACGUGAGCCAUCCGUAUAGAAAUAUUAUACAUCCAACCUUGUCGAGCCUAAAGUCAUGCUAUGAUGUUUUAAGAGGAUAGAUCUUACCAUGGUGCAUGUGUUUACCUUUUCUAA